rnacentral:rRNA from 1 species
CCGGCGACCGGCGGCACGGUGAGUAACACGUAUGCAACCUGGCCGUGACAGAUGGAUAACCGGGAGAAAUCCCGCCUAAUACAGCAGUGACGCCGGGAAGGGACAUCCCUUUCCGGCCAAAGGGGGCGACUCCGGUCACGGAUGGGCAUGCGGCGCAUUAGGUAGUUGGUGGGGCAACGGCCCACCAAGCCGACGAUGCGUAGGGGUUCUGAGAGGAAGGUCCCCCACAUUGGAACUGAGACACGGUCCAAACUCCUACGGGAGGCAGCAG